ACACAGUCAGACACACACACUCACUAGCAGACACACACACACUCACUGACACACAGUCAGACACACACAUACACACUAACAGACAAACACAGUCAGACACACACACUAACAGACACACACUCACUAGCAGACACACACACAAACUCACACAGACACUAACAAACACACACAUUAACAGACACACACUCACUGACACACACACUCACAGGCAAACACACUCACACUAACAGACACA